GAGGCACAAACAUAUUACCCGAGUGCUCCACCCUCUUUUUGACCGAAGCAAAUAAUUUGCUUGACGUCACUGUUUACUUUUCCUUUUUGACGUCACUGUAUCUGUUUACUUUUCCUUUUUGCCCGAAACAAACAAUUUAUUUGCCCCCACCCCCUUUUUGACAGAAACAAAUAAUUUGUCUCGCCCCACGCUCCCACCUUUUAAAACACUGGUCACAAGUAUGAUGAUGCAGCAAUUGGACUAUAAAUGCGUAGGUCUUCAACGACUGAGAAUCACCUGAUCCUAGAACCCCUCUCCCAAUUAUCAGUCAGCUAACCACAAUGACGACUUCUGAUACCAAAUUGAGCAUGAAGCUUUUGAUCGAUAGCGAGGCUGGCAAAGUACUAUUUGCAGAGGCUGAAAAGGAUUGUGUUGAUUUCCUCUUUCACAUUCUCUCGUUGCCAGUGGGUACUGUCAUUAGGCUUCUCAAGGAAAAAGGAAUGAAUGGGUGCUUGCCUAACCUAUACGAUAGUGUGGAGAAUCUGAAUGACACCUAUAUUCAGUCAAACCAAGGCAAAGAUAUCCUUUGAAACCCAACUCUUCAGUCGGAAUAUCUUCAGUUCCUUUUCUAUUGCUUAAUGACGUUCCGACUACAGAGAAGACUUUUUAUGGCGGUUCCAAUGGCAGCUGCUGUUAUACUGAUAACGGCUGUUAUGUUCGUGAUGAUUACUGCAGUUAUGUUUGUGAUGACCCUAGUGCAAGAUGCCCAAGGUGUCAAAAUCUUUUGACAAAAAGGUUGACGUAUGUUGCUCGACCGACAGUGGAUGGAGCUGCUGGGACAGCUGCAAGGGGUUUUGUGAAGGAGGUGGUGACAUACAUGGUGAUGGAUGACUUGGUCGUUAAGCCUAUGUCCACCAUCUCUAGCAUUACACUUCUCAACAAGUUUAAUGUCAAGGAUGUUGGUGUCCUGCGUGAGGAAGUGGUAGAUUUUGGAAUGGAAGAGGCACUGGAGUUGCUGAAAGCAUCUUUCGAGUUGAAAGCAGUUCUGACUAGUGUUUUCAUGAGCCGUAUAAAAGGGGAAAAAUAGUUAUAUUAGACAUAAUGGAAUUGGAUGUUUCAGUUUAGUAAAUUGCCCUUUAAUGGCUUUCUUUUGUUUCAUUUCCCGCUAUCGUUGAUUAUGCUUUGUAGGUUCUGUUGUAUAUGAUCCACUGCAAAAUCUUACUUUGUCUGGUUUGAGAAUGUUUUUGUUAUGUUGUCUGCUUUCACCCUGUAUUAUGGAGCAUCUUUUCUCA